rnacentral:rRNA from 1 species
UUGAACGCUGGCGGCAUGCUUUACACAUGCAAGUCGAACGGCAGCGGGGGCUUCGGCCUGCCGGCGAGUGGCGAACGGGUGAGUAAUACAUCGGAACGUGCCCGAUCGUGGGGGAUAACGGAGCGAAAGCUUUGCUAAUACCGCAUACGAUCUACGGAUGAAAGCAGGGGACCCUCGGGCCUUGCGCGAACGGAGCGGCCGAUGGCAGAUUAGGUAGUUGGUGGGAUAAAAGCUUACCAAGCCGACGAUCUGUAGCUGGUCUGAGAGGAUGAUCACCCACACUGGGACUGAGACACGGCCCAGACUCCUACGGGAGGCAGCAGUGGGGAAUUUUGGACAAUGGGCGCAAGCCUGAUCCAGCCAUGCCGCGUGAGUGAAGAAGGCCUUCGGAUUGUAAAGCUCUUUCAGACGGAAAGAAAUCGGGCGCGUGAAUAGCGUGCCUGGAUGACGGUACUGUCAGAAGAAGUACCGGCUAACUACGU